rnacentral:ncRNA from 1 species
GAGUUUCAAACCUCCUUUAAACACAAAGGCUUGGUCCUGACCUUAAAAUCAAUUAUUUCUUAAUUUACACAUGCAAGUCUCCGCACACCCGUGAAAACACCCUAACCCCCUUCUAUUAGGAAAAGGAGUCGAUAUCAGGCACAAUAACUUGCCCAAGACAUCUAGCAACGCCACGCCCACAAGGGUCUUCAGCAGUGAUAAACAUUGAAUAUAAGUGUCAACUUAACUCAGUUAAAGAAAGUAGAGUCGGCAAAUCUGGUGCCAGCCGCCGCGGUUACACCACAAGACUCAAAUUGAUUUUACUCGGCAUAAAACGUGAUUUAAGCCACAAACCUACUAGAGUUAAACUAAAAUUAAGCCGUAGCAAGCUUGUAUUAAGAAAGUCAAAUACGAAAGUUACUCUACCCAUUAUUCUUGAACUCACGAAAAUUUGGAUACAAACUAGGAUUAGAUACCCUACUAUGCCAAAUCGUAAACUUUAACUUACGCCGAAAUCGCCAGGGAACUACAAGCUUAGCUUAAAACCCAAAGGACUUGACGGUACCCCAUAUCCCUCUAGAGGAGCCUGUCCUGUAACCGAUAACCCCCGUUUAACCUCACCAUUUCUAGUCAUCAGCCUGUAUACUUCCGUCGUCAGCUUACCGCUUGAGCGACAGCAUAGUGAGCUAAAUGCUUAUCACCAACACGUCAGGUCAAAGUGCAGCAAAUGAAAUGGAAAGAGAUGGGCUACACUCUCUAACAAUAGAAAAUACAAAAGAUUGACGUGAAACCUCAAUCAGAAGGUGGAUUUAGUAGUAAAAAGAGAAUAGAGUGUUCUUUUUAAUUUGGCACUGGGGUGCGUACACACCGCCCGUCACCCUCUUCGUUUAUUCAAACCAGUAAAUAACAUCUUCUCUAAAAAAAGAAGAGGUAAGUCGUAACAUGGUAAGUGUACCGGAAGGUGUACUUGGAAACGCAGCAU